GGGUGUCUUAUGAUCUCAGAUGAGACUGGAAACUGGUCUGGAAUGACAGGUAUACACACUGCUAGGCAGAGGAGGAUUAUAAAACCGAUGGCUUGUUCCACACAUUUUGCCUAGAGGCCUGGGUCCUGCCCAGGCGAUCCCCUGGAUUUCUUCACAUUGCCCCAGGAACCUCCUCACAUCUCCCAGCCAAGGCAAUCAAUUGCAGCAGCUACUCAGGACCUGGCUGCUGAAUGCCUUCACCGUGGUGCAUCAGACCCCACUGCUCACACCCAAAAGUAGGGCUCCAACCCUGUGGGGCGCCUCUCACCUCUGGUCUCAUGAUCUGUCCUCAGCCACCCUUCAGGGACUCCCUGUUCUUAAAUGUGUGUCAGCUGCUCCCAGAGAGUCUGAGAGCCACACUAGACCUGCAAUGCCUCGCACAUGGCUUUCUUUCCACUGAAAAGAGAAUGGACUCUUAUGAGGUACAACAGGGUAACUGAAAACAGGUUGAAGUUUCUGCAGCUUCAGUCACAAGUGGGAAAAAUUU
rnacentral:lncRNA from 1 species